ensembl:lncRNA
CUCUCCUCUCCUCUCCUCUCCUCCUUCCUCUCCUCUCCUCCUCUCCUUCCCUCUCCUCUCCUCCUCCAGCUCCUUAUAGGUUGGGAGUACUGAAUAGUUGUCCCAGAGGGCUCUCCUUGUGUUCCCGAGGAGAGCGGAUUCUCAGAGUCCAGCGUAUCCAUUUGAGCAGUCACUCUGUUGGCUGCUGAGGUCUCCUCUUUAAUAGAGAGUCCUCUCUAACCAUGAUGGAUGAGCAGCUCUAAGGUCACCUGGAUCCGUACUGUCUUUAGAUGAGCUGCAACAUCAGCACUGAUCAGACCUCAUCUCUCCUCCUCUCAGAGGAAAGGUCACUGUGUCAGUAGACCUGAUCAGGACUAACGGGAACCUUCACCGACUGCUCCGCCACACAAACACUCUACUGCUUUUACUGUGAUACAGACACUUAUUCUUUAUUCUUGGUUGGUAAGAUAGAGUAAGGGUUGGUAAGAUAGCGUUAGGGUUGAUAAGAUAGAGUUAGGGUUGUUAUGAUAGAGUUAGGGUUGGUAAGAUAGAGUUAGGGUUGUUAAGAUAGAGUUAGGGUUGAUAAGAUAGAGUUAGGGUUGUUAUGAUAGAGUUAGGGUUGGUAAGAUAGAGUUAGGGUUGUUAAGAUAAAGUUAGGGUUGGUAAGAUAGAGUUAGGGUUGGUAAGAUAGAGUAAGGGUUAUUUAGGAUCAGUUUUAGUAAGAUAUAGUUAGUUAUUUAUGUUUAGGGUUAGGUUAGUAUAGUGAGGGCUAUUUAGAGUUAGGUUUAUUUCGGGUUAGAGAUAUUUUGGGGUUCAGUGAGGGUUAUUUGGGGUCAGGUAGUGAGGGUUAUUUGGGGUUUGGCAGUGAGGGUUAUUUGGGGUUAGGCAGUGGGGGUUAUUUGGGGUUAGGUAGUGAGGGUUCGUGGGGCUAGGUAUUGAGGGUUAUUCGGGGUUAGGUAGUGAGGAUUCGUGGGGCUAGGUAUUGAGGGUUAUUUGGGGUGCUGGUGGUGAAUCAGGCGUCGGCCUCAUCUGAAACCGUCUCCAGCUAGCUGCUAAAACAUCCAACAUCAUUUAUGCAAAUGUAAUUAGGCUCUGGGAAGGCGAUCGCAGCGUCGCCGCGCCAACGGAGAUCCAUCAUCACAACACGGCCUCUAAACAUUCAAUUAAAGUCUUGGAUUUCACCAGAUUUAAUCUGACCGUAAUAAAUUAGCCAGCGAGGGAGAGACGCCCUCCAGGCUGGCACCGGCCAGGGGACGAACCCGACCCCCCCCACACACACACACAUCCCCGAACCCUACCCCCCACCCCAGCGACCCAACAUGUCCGUUGUGGAGCCAGGGAGACGGCGUUGGCUGCUCUGGUGACGGGAGGAGCUAGAGGAGGAUUUAGUCUGUGUCCAAACAAGAAGCCAUUGGCGAACUAGAGCUAGCUUCAAGGUCAGAGGACAGGCAGUCUUGUGACCUAGGGUUAGGAGCCACACCGGUCAUAGCGGCGGCUGAAAAACGAAUCAAACCGUCUUUAAAAUGUUUUCACGGUAAACAACCAGCUGUCGAACAGAGGCAGCCUUCAAACUGCAGGAUGACAACAGCAGACUUUUUUCUGUUUUUCUCGUGGUGAGAACAUGGAUGUCAGACGUGUUAGCUGCUUCGUUUCCACGGUGAUAAACCUUCCACUCCAAAGGUGAUGAAAGGCCUCUGACACCCAACGCAUAUGCACAUGUACAAGCGCACACGCACACAUGCACACUUUCA